CGGUUGUUUCAAAGAUUUUGCUUUAAUUUUUUUUUUUAAAAAAAAAUUUCCAUCAAAAUUGAACUAUAUUAAUAAAUUGAUUUCGUUUUUACACUUUAAAUUUAAUUAAAUUGAAUUCAUUAAUAAAAUAAAAUAAAAUAAAAUAAAAUUCUAGUGAGUGUUGACACCUAUACAUCAUACGCGUGGACGAAGUUAAUAAGAAUAGAGUAUUUCAUCAAUAUAAUAUUAGAACAAUGGCCUUUCAAAGAAAAUGUACAAACUCCGCCACUGAAAGUAAUGAAUUAAUGGCGUAAAAUUAAAAUUUGAUAGGAAAUCUUAAUAACUAAAUCAACCAGAAUCUUGCCUUUUUAUUGGAAAAAGGGGUGGACUUUAAUUUUUUUUACAGGAAAUAUGAAAAGAAAAACAACAAAAAAACAAAAGGAUUGGUAUGCUCAUAAAAAACAGAAUUGACAGCUAUUCUAAAUAGUUAUAGAUAUAACAAAACACAUAUAUUUAUCCCUUACAUGUAAUUUUAAUUAUUAAGUAAACAACGUUUACAUAUUAAUUUAUUCUGGCACUCUUGUGGUCAAAAGUAUAAUAAUUUCUAUAAGCGCAUAGAAGAAAACCAUCUAAAUGCAACAAAUCCGAGCCUUUGAGGGGGCUAAAAGUCACUAAAUUCCAGCCAUUUAUCAAUCAUGUUGGAAUCCAUUAACAGGAAAGAUCUCAAACGCAAGGGAGAAUGAAUCCAAACAUUGAUCGCAUGAGGACACUUGAAGAAAUAUGAUCAAUGGAUUCUCUCUCACCACAAAAACUGCAUUCAGGAGAUACAUCAGGGAGGCGCUCCUGGAGGAGGUAUUUGCAUGGCAACCGUUUCAUAAUUCAACAUAUACAUCUCAUAAGAAAUGACAGAUGAUUGAGUUUCAGGAGCUAUAGGUGCUGGCCCUGGUCACCGGCAAUCAUGGCGUCAUCGGAAUCCAUGGCGUAUCAACAAUUUCCUUUGUUCGUUUAGUAGUAAGAUUUGCUUGCGAUUUAAUUUGAAUUAAUAUUUAAGAUAAAGAACAAAAUCAAAGCUGUGCAAUUGAAAUGACAGAGGGAAAUAGAUGAAUAAUCAUUUAUUGAGAAUACAAAUACAACACAACACAUAUAUAAUAUCAAUUACUAAUUCAGAUGUGCAUCAGAUCAGAGCACGAGCAUGCAACUAAAACUAAUUCUGAAGGAUGGGCGCGGGUGCAGGCGCAGUGACGGUCUGAUCACUUGGAUUCUUCUGCGCUUGGCGUUCGCGAGGACAAUUCCACUUUCUAUGGUUCCCUUGGUCAUGGGAAUGUUGUAUUCCUCGUGUUAUAAACCCCCCGAACAUGGUCCCGAAAACAAACGCAACAACUGGCUUCAUGCUGCUGCUCAUUGAUUUGGUUUAAUAACCCCAAUAAUCAAGCUAAAGUGUCAAGUAAAUAUGGGUUUGCUUUGCAUAUCUGGGAGGUCAAUCGGAGGGGAUUUAUAGGAUCCACAUUCUUAAUUUCCAGGGACGUGAUGCCCAAGCCUUACUGUCGCAGCAGCUGCUGUCGCGUGUCCUGCACUCCACUUCGUGGGUCAAAUUGAUUUUCUUGUAGACAACUUGGAUUUGAAAAUUAUUACACUAAAUUAAUCAACGACAGCGAUAUGUAUUCUUAUUAUUAUUUUUUUUUAAUGAAGAAUUGAACAAAAGAGACCAGUAAGCCUUGUUUCCUUCCAUGAUUCAGUCAUGACAUACAAAUCC
rnacentral:lncRNA from 1 species